rnacentral:rRNA from 1 species
AGAGUUUGAUCCUGGCUCAGAUUGAACGCUGGCGGCACGCCUUACACAUGCAAGUUGAACGGCAGCGCGGGGCAACCUGGCGGCGAGUGGCGAACGGGUGAGUAAUAUAUCGGAACGUACCCUGGAGUGGGGGAUAACGUAGCGAAAGUUACGCUAAUACCGCAUACGAUCUAAGGAUGAAAGUGGGGGAUCGCAAGACCUCAUGCUCCUGGAGCGGCCGAUAUCUGAUUAGCUAGUUGGCGGGGUAAAAGCCCACCAAGGCAACGAUCAGUAGCUGGUCUGAGAGGACGACCAGCCACACUGGAACUGAGACACGGUCCAGACUCCUACGGGAGGCAGCAGUGGGGAAUUUUGGACAAUGGGCGCAAGCCUGAUCCAGCAAUGCCGCGUGAGUGAAGAAGGCCUUCGGGUUGUAAAGCUC